AUAUAUAUAUAUAUAUAUAUAUAGUAAAUAAGAGACGGAAGAUACGAGAAUCUUUAUUAAUCACCACAAUCGUUUCGACCCAUGUAGCAUCGAUCCCUC